GAUUAACGCUGGCGGCGUGCAUAACACAUGCAAGUCGAACGAUGAAACUUAGUCGACUUCUUCGGAAAGACACUAAGCGGAUUAGUGGCGAACGGGUGAGUAACGCGUGAGUAACCUGCCUUACACAAGGGGAUAGCCUUUGGAAACGAAGAAUAAUACCCUAUAAAACCAUAAAAGCACAUUCUAGAAUGGUCAAAGUGAUAGCGGUGUAAGAUGGACUUGCGUCUGAUUAGCUAGUUGGUGAGAUAAAAGCUCACCAAGGCAACGAUCAGUAGCCGGCUGGAGAGAGUGUACGGCCACAUUGGGACUGAGACACGGCCCAAACUCCUACGGGAGGCAGCAGUGGGGAAUUUUGCACAAUGGGGGAAACCCUGAUGCAGCGACGCCGCGUGAUUUAGAAGGCCUUCGGGUUGUAAAAAUCUUUUGUAUAGGAAGAAAAUGACAGUACUAUACGAAUAAGGUCCGGCUAAUUACGUG
rnacentral:rRNA from 1 species